rnacentral:lncRNA from 1 species
GCACGCACAGACAUCCCCGUUCUCUGGUCUGUGCUCGGUGCCCCAGUGCGCACGCGUUGUCACUCAUCUCCGUCCUCUCCAAUCUGAGGGCCCACAAGUGGCAUCAUCGCCUUGUGGUUGGAGUUUACCCAUCUUCAGUUACAGGGGAGGGUCUGCAUCCCCCUACCCACUCCCGGCCCUUGGCUGUGGCCUUUUAUGUUUCUUCUUUGAGUAAUCACUUAUUUCUCUCUUAGACUAUAAGACCAGCACUCCCCACCCGCCCCCUACACGACCUGCCCUCUCUAAGUACAAUGCCUGCACCAAAUGGGCUGUGGAAGGGGGUAUCAGGAAGGAAAGCAGAAGGUGCAAGUAGAGCUUUAAUUUUCUUUUUCGUGUUCCUUUUUUUUCUUUUAAUAUGACAUUCUUUUCUAAUAUUGUAAUCAGAAAAUACAGUAUAGCCAUUUUCAUUUGACACAAAAAAUAUUCAGGGUGUAAAAAUAACAAAAGACUCAUUCUUUUGUUUACAUUAUUUUGUGCCACAUUUUAAAAUGUCUUCUGUUACUGCAAACUAUUUUACAGCUUUCAAAAUUGACUAGUAAUUCUUGACAUUUUAAAUACAAAAUUGUCCUAAACAAAACCAGCACGUAUUCAAUAUGAUCUAUAAGUUAAUCUUUGGAAAGACAUUUCGUUUUCUAAUAUUGACAAUUUUACACAGGUGAUUUGUAACUUUUGAAGUUCUGGCUGAACUCAGCAUCUUUUUUCAGGUGUCUAAGACCUUCUUCAGAGAAGACUUCUAGAGGAUAUAUUUAAGACCCAACUCCUGAUGAGCCUAGUGCUUUACUAGUGACUUACCAAAUUAACCUGCUUUACUAGUGACUUCCCAAAUUAACCUGUUUUCCAUUCAAGGGGCUUUAUUUGGAUUUUACAUAAGCAUGUAAUCAGAUCAGCCUCACCACACCCAUGGAACAACCAACUGCUAGAGCUUGGAUGGAAAGGAGACUUAACAGGUGGAAUUUUCAUCCGUCGUAACACUUGAGAUCUCGCCGGUGUCUGCCAUUCAUGUACUACAUACUACCCUAGCAGUGGCGAGUGUUCAAUAUUUUCCAGUGGAGAUGGUGGUGAGGGUCUGUGGAUGACUGUGAAUCACUGCAACACACCUGAUGUCCGUGUCAUUAUUUUUUUCCCUCACAAGUGGAAGGGCAAUGUACAGGAUCCCAAGCAAUUGCCAAGAAAAAGAAGUUUUUUCCUGUCCCCGCUGAGGAGUCAUACUCCAAAUAUAGACCCUCCAGGCAGCCUCUUUCUUAGAACAUUGAAAUAGGACACCCCAGAGGGAGGGGCUCCACUGUGAGGGGCCCCUGUGUGGAGGAGGCCCUUUCAGGAGCCAAGAAAGGAAGUCCUAGUGCCUUACAAUCUUACUAAUGGCUUUUCAGAACUCAAUUGAAAGUGACGAACUUACUUUCUCCACCAAAGGAAAAUAUUGAUAAAUUAAUUGCAUACAAAUUUUAAACUUUGGUAAAGUAAAAAAAAAAAACCAUAAACAUUGACUGUCAAAAGGCUAACUUGUAAUAAUCUAAAAGCUCUUACAGAUCAUUAGUAAAAUGAUAAACAACCCAAUAGAAAAAUGUGCCAAAAGACAUGAACAGAUUUGUUCACAGAAAAGAAAUAGAUUACUAAUAAACAUAUGAAAAGAUGCUCAAACAAAGAAAUGCAAAUCAAAGCAACUAUGCCUUACCAUGUUUCAAGUAUGAUUUUCUCAAAGUUUAGAAACUUGAUAAUAUUGUUGACUGGUUUGUCAAGAAAUGGGCACUCCUCUACUCUGUUGGAGGCAGAUAUUGAUGCAAGCUUUUUAUAUAGGGCAAUUUGGCAAACUCUAUUAAAUGAUAACUAUAAUAUUUCACAAAUUCUUUGACCCAAUAAUUCUAUUCCUUGGAAUUUAGCCAACCUAUAUGCCUACACAGUUUCACAAAGAUAUAUUUACUAGAAUUUUUUUUUUUCGCAAUGCUUGUAAGGUUUGAAAAAACUGACGCAGCCGGGCACGGUGGCUCACACCUGUAAUCCCAGCACUUUGGGAGGCCGAAGCAGGUGGAUCACGAGGUCAGGAGUUCAAGACCAGCCUGGCCAACGUGGUGAAACCCCGUUUCUAUUAAAAAUACAAAAAUUAGCCGGGCGCAGUGGCAGGCGCUUAUAACCCCAGCUACUUGCAAGGCUGAGUCAGGAGAAUGGCUUGAACCCAAGGGAUGGAGGUUGCAGUGAGCCUAGAUCACGCCACUGCACUCCAGUCUGGCUGACAGAGUGAGACUCUGUCAAAAAAAAAAAAAAAAAAAAAAAAAGCCUGACGCAACAUAAAAUGGCUAUUGAUAGGGGAGAGAUUAAAUAACUCAUGUUAUAUUUAUACAAUGUGGCUGAUGGAGUUAGCUCUGUGUAUCCCAGUGGAAAGAUAAUUGGGGUGUUUUAAUAUUUGCUGUUUACUUUACAUACAAAUCCCACAAGAGUACAAUUCUAGUAUAAAAUUCAAACCCAAGGCCAAGUGUGAUGGCUCACGCCUAUAAUCCCAAUACUUUGGGAGUCUGAGGCAAGAGCAUUACUUGAGGCCAAGAGUUUGAGACCACCCUACAUAGGUUUCCCGACAUAGGGAAACCUGUCUAUUAAAAAAAAAAAAUAGCUGGGCUUAGUGGUGCAUGCCUGUGGUCCUAGCUACUUGGGAGGCUACUUGGCAAGAAGAUUGUUUGAGCUUAGGAAUUCAAGGUUACAGUGAACUAUGAUUGCACCACUGCUCUCCAGACCGGCAAUGGCGUGAAACCCUGUCUCUGAAAAGAAAAGAAAAGAAAAGAAUAGUCAAACCCAGAAAAAGCACUAGUACCACUUUCACUCCCCUAUCCUCACCCAAAUCACAGUUACCUCUCCAUUUUAAGUUUGGUGUAUUAACCUUUUGUAUACAUGAUAUACACAUACAUGUCUUAUUAAAAUAUAUAAAUGAGAUUUUUUUUUAUAUGGAGUCUUGCUCUUUCACUCAGGCUGGAGUGCAGUGGUGCGAUCUUGGCUCACCGCAACCUCCACCUCUCGGGUUCAAGCGAUUCUCAUGCCUCAGCCUCCCUAGUAGCUGGGAUUACAGGUGCGCACCACCAUGCCCAGCUAAUGUUUGUAUUUUUAGUAGAGACUGGGUUUCACCAUGUUGGCUAGGCUGGUCUCAAACUCCUGGCCUCAAGUGAUCCAACCACCUGGGCCUCUCAAAGUGCUGGGAUUACAGGUGUGAGCCACCACGCCUGGCCAGGAUCAUAAUUAACAUACUGUUUUGCAACUUGCUUUUUUUUCAUUUAAAAUUAUGUCUCAAAGAGCUCUACAUACCAGUACAUUUAAAGCUGCUUCAUUCUUUUUAACUGCUGCAUAUUAUGAGUUCUGGAUCCGGAGCUAAUAAAGCAAGGUUACAAUGAACAGUCUGGCACAUAAAGCUUUGCCAACAGGUAGAAGAAUUUCUUUAGGAUAUUCUACUAUAAAUAUAAUUAUUUGCUUAAAUGUAUGAGAUUUUAUACAUUUGAUAUUGCCAAAAGAAGGAUGUGAGAUUUUAUAUAGUUAAUGGAUAUACCACCAAACUGUCCUCCAAAAAGGCUUGGCCAAUUUAUACCCCCAUCAAACAUAAGACAGGAUCUAUUUCCCCACACUCUCAUGCACACUGUGUACAAAUGUUUCUCAACUUAUAAUGGGGUCAUGUUCAAAUAAACUUAUAGGUUGAAAAUACCAUAAAUCUAAAAUGCAUUUAAUACAUCCAACCUACCAAACAUCAUAGCCUAGCCUACCUUAAAAAUGCUCGGAACACUCACAUUAGCUGACAGUUCGGCAAAAUCAUCUAAUGCAAAGCCUAUUUUAUAAUAAAGUGUUGAAUAUCUCACAUAAUUUAUUGAAUACUACAUUGAAAGAAAAACAGGAUGGUUGUAUGAGUACUUGAAGUACAGAUUUUACUGAAUGUGUAUUGCUUUUGCACCACCAAUUAAAGUAAAAAAAUCAUAGGUUGAAUUGUCAUAAAUUGGGGACCGUCUGUAUUAGUAAUUAUUGCCAAUAUAAGAGUCAACAAAAGAUUGUCCUUUUUUUUGUUUUGUUUUGAGAUAGGUUCUCACUCUGUUGCCCAGGCUGGAGUGCAGUGAUGUAAUCACAGCUCACUGCAGCCUCGACCUUCCUGAGCUCAGGUGAUCCUCCCAUCUCAGCUUCCCCAGUAGCUGGGACUACAGGCGCAUGCCACCACGCCCAGCUAAUUUUUGUACUUUUGGUAUAGACGGGUUUUUGCCAUGUUGCCCAGGUUGGUUUCGAACUCCUGAGCUCAAGCAAUCCACCCACCUCGGCCUCCCAAAAUGCUGGGAUCACACAGGUGUGAGCUACUGCACCUGGCAAGAUUGUCCUUUUAAUUCACAUUUUCCUAAAUAUCUAUUAUCUUGAGCAUAAUUUCACAUGCUUAACAUCCAUUUGCAUUUCUUCUCUGAGUAUUAGUUAAUAUCCUUUGAGUAUUUUCCUAUUCAGCUGUAUUUUUUAAAUGGUUUGUAGUUCUUUACACAUUUCUGUAUAUUAGUUAUUUUUCUGUUAUAUAGGUUGUACAUAUAUUUUCUCAAUCUAUCACUAACAUCUUAAUUUUAUGGUAUUUUUGAUAUUCAGAAUUUUUACUUUUUUAGACAGGGUUUCGCUGUGUCGCCCAGGCUGGACUGCAGUGGCGUGAUCAUAGCUCACUGCUGCCUUGAACCCCUGGGCUUAAGCGAUCUUCCUGCCUCAGUCUCCUGAGUAGCUAGGACUACAAAUGCAUGGCACCACGCCCAGCUAAUUUUUAUGUUUUGUAGAGACAGGGUCUCACUAUAUUCCCCAGGCUGGUCUCAAACUCCUGGUCUCAAAAGAUCCUCCCACCCAGACCUCCCAAAGUGCUGGGAUUACAGGCAUGAGCCAGGGCUAUAAUCCCAGCACUUUGGAUUCUGGAGCCAUGGCACCUAACUCCAGAAUUUUUACAUUAUGAUGUGGUCAAAACAUUAACCUUUUCUUGUAUGGCUUCUGGGUCAUUGCAUAUAUAUGUGUGUGUGUGUGUGUGUGUGUGUGUGUGUGUGUGUGUGUGUGUGUGUGUGUCUCCAAAUCCUAGCACCAUUCAUAUAAUAGUCCAUUAUUCCCCAAUAAAUUUAAAGAGCUAACUUAACCAUAUGUUAAAUUCUCAUUUAUACUCAGAUCUGUUUCAUCGAUUGACUUUUCUGUUUCACUGAUAAUAUAUAUAGUUAUAAACUGCCUCAAUAUCACACUUUUACAUGGUGUCGUUUUGUAGCAAGUUUUGGUGUCGGGGAAGACAAAUCCUUCAUUGCCCUGCUUUUUCCAACUAUUUUUGGAUAUCCUUGGGCAUUUCAAGUGAAGUUCCAAGUUUCAUUUUUAAAAAAUCUUGUUGGACUUUUCAUUAGGAUUGCAUCCAAUUUAUAGAUUAAGCUGGGUGUGGUGGGUCAUGCCUGUAAUCCCAGCACUUUAGGAGGUCACGGCAGGUGGAUCACUUGAGGUCAGGAGUUCAAGACCAGCCUGACCAACAUCGUGAAACCUCGUCUUUACUAAAAAUACAAAAAUUAGCCAGGGGUGGUGGCGCACACCUGUAGUCCAAGCUACUCGGGAGGCUGAGGCAUGAAAAUCGCUUGAACCCUGGAGGUGGAAGUUGCAGUGAGCCCAGACUGUGCCACUGCACUCCAGCCUGGGCAACAGAGUAAGACUCUGUCUCAAAAAAAAAAAAAAGGAAUUUAUAGAUCAACUUAAGGAAUAAUUAAAAUCUUAGUAAUAAAGUAUUUUCACCCAGGGUCAUGUAGUAUUUUUAAAAUUUAUUCACAUCCUCUUUUGUGCUCUUCAGGAAAAUUGUCAUUUUUCGUGUGUGUGUGUGUGUGUGUGUGUGUGUGUGUGUGUGUGUGUGUGUGUGUGGUUUUCUUUAUAGAUUUUAUACAUUUCUUAUUAGCUGUAUUCCCCAAUAUUUCAUAGUUUUUGUUAAUAUUGUGAAUGUGGCUUUUUGUACAUUAUAUUCUCUCUACAUUUUUUAGAAAAAUGAUUUCACUAUUUUUAUAAAAAUGAUGCAUGCUCAUUAUAAAGAAGCAAUGCAAUGCAAUAAAGUACACAGAAUAAGAUAAAAUAUCAUCUCAGAUUCUAGCACUGUGAAAUAACGAACUUUCAAAUGACAAUCAAACUUCCCAGGACAUGUUAUGCUAUUUAGAUCUAAACAUUUUAUUCUUUCUUAAGAAUAUAUAUAUGUGUGUGUGUAUGUAUAUACAUAUAUAUGUACAUAUAGUUAUUUCAUUUAAUUUCUUCUUUUUCAUUUCCCGUCAAUGUAAUUAUCUGAAGCCCUUCCUCUGUCCAUAAUUCAAUUUUUAGCCACAUGUUUCUAUUUCACUCUAUUUAUAAUUUAUUCUAUAAUGUUGUUUUGUCCUAAUGGGUUCUUUAGUUUGCAAUCUUCCUUUUUACCUAAUUCUGCUGUUUUCACAUCUCAUCUUUGCAUUCUUGUUUUAUUAAGUUCAUAUUCUUAUUAAGUUGUUCUAUAGCUUAAAGUACUUGGAAAUUUCCUUCUGUUCUUUGUGGUACGCUUUUUUCUUGUUUAGAUUCUUUGUCUUGUGCUUCCUGUAUCUUAUAUGGCUUCUGAGGAAUGGAAGAGCCUGGUUACCCUGCACCACAAUGCCCAGUUCUGGAAUCUCCUGUUUCUUUACUUGGCUGAGAUAUUUUGAAGUUUACGUCAUUGGAAUGUGCCCCUUUCUUUGGUUGCUGAUGAUCAUCUCCAUUCUUCUGCUGUUUUGUUUUUUCUGCAUUUUGUUGAAUAUUAGGAGAGAUCUGGUGAAAUGGUAUCUUCCCUCUAUUCUAACAUAGAAGCUUCUUAUCCAUUUUCCAUUUGUGUAUUGCUGGUGCAAAGCAAAGCUACAAUUUCUGAAUGUUGACCUUGUAUCAGGCCACCCUAAUGAAUUUGUAUUAUUAGUUAUAAAAGUUUGUCAGUUGAUUUUCUCUGAUUUUCUCAAAAGACAUUUAUAUUGUCUGUAAAUGACAGUUUAAUAUUUUUCCUUUCUGAUACUUUAUACUAUUCAUGUUAUCUUUUCAUCUUAUUAUAUGUAACAAGAAGUCCAGAGUAAUGUUGAAUAGUAAAGGUGAUAACAGACAUCCUUAUAGUCAGAGUCUAGCUCCUGAAUAUAACAGGAAUGCUUUUCACGUUUCAUCAUUAAGUACAAUAUUUCUAUGCAUCUCCUACACAAAUCCUUUGCCAAGUUAAGGAAACUUCUAUUCCUAGAAUGCCAGGAGUUGUUAUCAGGAAUGGAUGUUUAAUUUGAACAAAAAAUUUUAUGGUUCCUAUUGAGAUUAUCAUAUUUUAAUGAUUUUAAUAUAGUAGAUUACAAUAAAAAUGUUUAAAUAUUGGACCACCUUUGAAUUCUUGCAAUAAACCUCACACGGUAGUGACAAUUUUUUUUAAUAAACUGCUGGAUUUCAAUUUGCUAAUAUCUGGUUUUACAUUUUUGUAGAUGAGAUCCGUUUAUAGUUUUCUUUUUCUGUGUACCAUCCUUUUUCAGUUUUUGGUAUUAUAAUUAUACUAGCCUUAUGAAAUGCAUAAUAUAAUUAUACUAGCCUUAUGAAAUGCGUUAGGAAGUUUUCUGUGUUCUGGAAUUAGUUUAUAUAACAAGAGAAUUUUUCCAUUCCUUAAAGGCUUGGGGAAGAACUUUUCUAAAAAUAAUAGUCUGAGCACAGUAAUUGUCUUUCUUUCCUUUUGUUGUUUGUUUUUAAGCAGUAAGAUUUUUUUUUUUUUUUUUUUUUUUUUUUUUUUUUUUGAGACAGAGUCUCGCUCUGUCACCCAGGCUGGAGUACAGUGGCACGAUUUUGGCUCACUGCAACCUCCGUUCACGUGAUUUUCAUGCCUCGGCUACCUGAGUAGCUGGGACUACAGGUGCGUGCCACCAUGUCGGGCUAAUUUUUGUAUUUUUAGUAGAGAUGAGGUUUCACCAUGUUGGCCAGGCUGGCCUCAAACUCUUGACUUCAAGUGAUCCACCCACCUCGGCCUCCCAAAGUGCUGGGGUUACAGGCGUGAGCCACCAUGCCCGGCCUGAAGUAAAAUUUUUAUCUCUUUAUUGUUCUAUUCAAGUUUUCUACUUCUUGAGCCAGUUUUGAUUAGUUGUAUUUUAUUAAUAUAUGAUCCAUUUUGUCUGAAAUUUCAAUUUGAGUGUUAUAAAAUUCUGACUUGUAUUUUCUUAUAUUUUUCCUAUUGCCUUUUAUAUCUUUAAUUAUAAUUCCCAAUGUUGUUUAUUGUCUCUUCUUUUUUCUUUGAUCAGAAUUGCCAAAAAAAUUUUCUCAAAUAACUUGUAUCAAUCAAUUGUAUUGUGAUUUUUUUCUUCUUGCUUUCUUUUUUUCUUAUCUUUAUUUUUCCUUCCUUCUAUUUCCUUAAGAUUCAAUUUACUGUUCUUUUUCUACAUUCUUGAGUUAAAUGUCUAGUUCAUUUAUCUUAAGUCUUCCUUAUUUUUGAAUAUGUAAGUGAGUGUAUAAAUGACCCUCUUUAAUAACUCUAACCUCAUCCCAGGUUUUACAUCUGGUGGGUUUAUUUCCAUUCUCAUCUACAUAAUUUGAAGUCAUGAUUUUUAUUUCUUCUUUAACCCAGAGUCAUUUAGAAGAUGCUUUUUUUUCUUAAAUUUUGGAUUCGGUGUGGGGACUGCAUUAAUGUCUAAUUUUAUUUCAUUAUAUUGUGUCACCUUCUCUUCAAGGUAUUUCUUAAUUGUGCAAUUAAAAAUAUCCCUGCAGCUUCUAUGGCAUCAUUGAGUUUGACUUUCUUUCCUUUUUUAAAUUUUUUUAUUUUUAAUUUUGUGGGUACAUAGUAAAUGUAUAUAUUUAUGGGGUACAUGAAAUGUUUUGAUACAGGUAUGCAAUGUGAAAUCAUUACAGGACUUAUCACUUAUUCAUUUACUUAUGUAUUAUUUGAUUCUUCUAUCUAGGAUGUAAGCUCCUUGGGAACUGAGACAUUGCUUCUUAUUUGCUACAUUUCCAGUACCUGAAACAGGGCCUGGAACAUAGUAAGCACUCAAUAAAUAUUUGCUAAAUAAAUAAAUUAUGAAUAAUAAAUAUGACCCCUAUGAGUACUCUUUCCACUUUUUUAAAAAAGAAAUUGAUGGGAUUUAACUCUUGAAUAAGCAUGUUCUAAUACCUGGGCACUUUUUAAAACCAAGUGCAUUUGAAAAGAAUGUUAUUUUCUGUUGUGUACAAAGUUGUUUAUAUUAGAGAGAUUAGUUAAAGCACAUCAAUUGUGAAAUUUAAAUCCUCUAUCUUUUUGCUAAUCUGUGGAUUAUUGAAAAAGGUGUGCUAAGCCUCCCAACUAUGAUUGUAGAUGUAACAAUGUUUCCAUAUAUAUAUAUAUACUAUUUUGCAUUGCAUAUUUUGAAGCUAUAGUUAACUACAUAAACGAUUGUGUUACAUUUUCUAGGUAAUAUAACCAGACUUAAUAAUAAGCGUCCUUCUGUGUCCUUUAGUCCUUUCAGUCUGAAAUUCUACUCUGUCUUAUAUUGAUAAUGCAGCUUCUGCUUUCUUUUUAUUAGUUUUUGCCUGGUUUAUCUUUUUCCAUCUUAUUUAAUACAGUACAGAGGUAUAUUUUUAUUUUUAACACAAUCUGAGAGUCACUGUCUCUUUUUAAGUGAAUACAACCAAUUCACAUUGUCAUUACAAUAUAUUUGGAUUUAUUUAUGCCAUUUGUUUUUGCAUUUUCUGCUUACCAUGCUUUUUUGUUCCUUCCCCGCACACCCCUCCCCGCCGCCCACUGCCAGCUUUGUGUUAGAUCAAUUUAUUUUACCUAUAGUGGUUUGGAGGUUAUGCAUUCUAUUUGUAUUACACCCCCCCAACUUUUGUCAGCCCUCAUAGCUUUUUUCUUUUGCAGAUACCUACAAAGAAGUCCUUUUAUUUAUUUAUUUAGAAAGGAUCUUGCUUGUUGCCUAGGCUGGAGUGCAAUGGUGCAAUCACAGUUCACUGCAGCCUUGAUCUCCCAGGGCUCAAGGAUCCUCCCACCUCAGCCUCCUGAGUAGCUGGGACUACAGGCAUGCACCACCACACGCAGCUUAUUUUUUUAUUAUUAUUUUUCAUAGAGAUGAGGUUUCACUAUGCUGCACAGGCUGGUCUUGAACUCCUGAGCUCAAGAUAUCCUCCUGCCUGGGCCACCCAAAGUUCUGGGAUUAAAGGCAUGAGCCACCGUGCCUGGACCUACCAAGCAGUCCUAAUUUCUUUUUCUUUUUUUUUUUUUUUUUCUUCCUUCUCCUGCCUAAUUGCCCUGGCCAGAACUUCCAACACUAUGUUGAAUAGGAGUGGUGAGAGAGGGCAUCCCUGUCUUCUG